CUCUGGUCUCCUGACUCUGGUGCAGGGAACAUUUGCACUGUUCUUAUUAUUACCCCAGGAGCUGGCUUAUUGCACAAUAUCAGGAAAUAGUCCAUAUGAAAUCCUGGCCCACAAAGCAUACAUGUUCUGCUUUUUAUUCUGCAGCUUUUUUAUAAAGUGUGUUUUCCUUUCCCAUAAUGUCAUCUGGAAGCAAUUCCUCCCAACAGCUGGAUUUGCUUUCACAAUUGGUAAACACGUAAAAUGGAAGGCAGGGGAAGAUGCGGAGUGUCACCAGUGGAGCCUUUCCCCCACCCGCUUGGCUCGUGUUCUGAGGCUUAUCUUGGGUCUCUGCACAAGCCUCAUCAAAACUGAGAAUGUCUUCAAACAAGCGACCCACACUGCAUUCCCUCCUUCAGGGGGUCAGCAUGUUCUUUGGGGGAGAAAUUUUCUGAAUACUUUGCAGAUAAAAUCGAUCAGAUGCAGACCAGAUUGCCAGCCGCCAAGAUCUCGGAGCUACACGUGGAGGCCAGCAAAGCAGCACCUUCUCCAAGACCUCACCAUCCUGGUACAGUCAGGACCUCUGGGGUCCUGCAGGAAGCCUCCCGCAGGGCACAGCCUUCCCAGAGCCACUGCCACCAAAGCCAAUACAGGACGAGAGCCCAAAGAGCACCUACUAGGUCAUCAAAGAAAAUGAAUGUCCCCCCACCCCACCCCCCCAUGUGCUCCCGAGGAACAAGUUUUCACGCAGGCACAAACAGAAGGCAGCCAGUACUCCGGAAGGCCAAGAGCACAGCUGUCAUCUGGGUGUUGGCUCACACCCUCUCCACUCUGUCUCCAGGGUCUCGGGGGCCGCUUCUCUAGGGGUUCACCAACAUGGUUAGUUCUGGUCCAGGAGGUUCAGGGCACAGUUUAAGCUGGAAUACAGUGCCGGGGGGCAAAGCUGAGGCUUCAGGCACUCUCCUCCCACAUAAGAAAUGCUAUUCUUUGAUCAAAGUUUCAAAUUUGGAAGAAAUCAACCUAGCAUAUGGCUCAACUCUCAGAGGGAGCACGAGAGUAUGCCGUUGACCAGGCAGCCCUACAGAGAUGCAGAAGAGGGUAUGUGUCACCCGGCCCAGCGGCGGGGAUGACCUCAACACGGUGCCGGCCAGAAGGGGAGAGAGUGGGGGGUAGAAGGGGCUUCCUUCCAAGCACCACCAACCCUCUGGGUAGCCAGGGCCCCACUUCCUGUGAGGGAGCUUCCCUGUGCUGUGGACCCUUGGCUGCAAAGUCCUCCUGGAAGAGAUGAGCACCCCGCCCACUGAACAAACAAAAGGAGCCCAUCAGGAGCAGGGCUCACCAGAGGACCCUGAGGAGGCUGACUGCCCAGCUCCUCAGCACAAGCUGCAAACGGAGCCCCUUUGCCUAGGCCCAUGGUGGGUGGAGUGCACUCUUUCUUGGGUCUGCUUCUUUCCUGGGGUCCAUCUUCUCUCUCUGUCCUCCAGGAAGAGGCUGUAUCUUGUCUGGAGUCAAGGAACAGAAAUUUCAUUGUACAGUUUUCCAAAUCUCAUGCCUCAUAUCUGAAAUGUCGAAACUCCGUGUUUCUAGUUGCAGGCCAAGGCUGCUUCCUCCAGACCCUGGUCACUCUGGUCUGAUCGCCUGCACUGCUGGGAGGGCCCUCGGAGUCCACUCGGUGAGAUUCACUGAAGCCCAGGGGGGUGGGUGGGUGAGAGCAACCCCCUGGUUAAUACUUCAAAGUGACCCUCUAGAUUAAAGCAACUAGAGUUCUAACAACCAUAUGCAAUGUGUGCACCUUGUUUGGAUCCUGAUUCAAAUGUACCAACCGUAAGGAGACAUCUUGGGCUAUUUCAGGAAAAUUUGAAUUUGGACUGGGUAUCAGAAAACAUUUAAGAACUUAUUGUUAAUUUUGAUAAGUAAGUGUGGAAAAAAACAUAAAAAAUAAAUAUGUAAACAAAUUUUUAUAUGUGUGAUAAUGGUG
rnacentral:lncRNA from 1 species